AGUCUGGUCUCGCUCUGUGUUAGAUCAAGCACUGCCGCCUCCCGAGAGCCUUUCCUAUGAGUUCAUAAACCAUCGUUUAUUAAGCCUGCUUUAAGGCUCUUUAGCUAUCCACUCUUUCACGGGUAUUUCUGUCUCAGCAUCUGACCAGUGUGCAAGCAAUGAACACCCUGUGCAGCAUCCCAGUCUCUCUCCUGACUCUGGUGGCAGGCCAGAACUGGAUCUAUCAUAUAAGGAAAAAGAGGAUGAGUGCAGCAAAAGUUCAAAACCAAAAUCUGUCAGGAAUGGAGUGGAAAGCAUCGAGGAGAGGCAAGUGUUGGAGAACAGACACUGGGCUUCGAAAGGCCACGCUGGUCUUUACUCUAGUCAUCCUUGGCACUUAUGUUAGUGAUUCCUUACUUCUGGUUCUAAGACUGGGGACAGGCAGAGCCUGCUGGUCGAGAACCACAGAACCCCCACCGUCCCAUAGAUUUUGCUUCUGAUCUCUGUAACAUAAGUUUUAUAGUAAAAUUUUCCUGUGCUAUUUGAGCUUGUUGAAUACACACUGGGAGUGAGGAGGCAGCCCCUUAAGCCAGAGGCAGCAUGAUUAUUUCAAUCGAGAGAAGAACAAACAGUGGAGGGGGUAUUAAUGACAUCGUGCCCUUGAGAAUGGUUGGAAGGCAUAGUCUUCCCAACAGUGGCUACUCUCUAUCUUACGAUAGAAUUACGAAUAUGCACAGGGGAUGAGAAACUAAAACUCAUCCAUGGAUGAAGCUCAACUCUUCGGGAAACUCUCAGUUUUCAGCAGGGCUCAUUGCCCAGUUAUUUCUGCUGGAUGUUGUAUCUGAUUUCAUGAAACGUCGCUAUCUAUUAGCUGCUGCUGAGUUUUCUAUUACUUCUACUUGAGAUAUAUAUUAUAUAGUAUUAAUAUACAUUUUUGUUUUUGUAAAUAUAAUAUAUUCAGUUCACUCAUUCAAAGCC
rnacentral:lncRNA from 1 species